GAUGAACGCUAGCGGCAGGCUUAAUACAUGCAAGUUGAGGGGCAGCAUGAUAUACGCAAGUAUAUUGAUGGCGACCGGCGGACGGGUGAGUAAAAGGUAGGAGACCUACCUCAUACAGGGGGAUAGCAUAGAGAAAUCUGUGGUAAUACCCCAUGAGGUUAUAUGAAUAGAGGCAUAUAAUCAAAGUAUACGAGAGUAUGCGGUAUGAGAUGGGCCUACUGACCAUUAGCUAGUUGGUGAGGUAAGGGCUCACCAAGGCGAAGAUGGUUAGGGGUUUUGAGAGAGAGAUCCCCCACAUUGGAACUGAGAUACGGUCCAGACUCCUACGGGAGGCAGCAGUAGGGAAUAUUGGGCAAUGGGCGAAAGCCUGACCCAGCCAUGCCGCGUGAAGGAAGACGGCCUUAUGGGUUGUAAACUUCUUUACUAUACGAAUAGAGGUUAGUACGAGUUACUAAUAGGAAGGUAGUAUAGCAAAAAGCACCGGCUAACUCCGUGCCAGCAGCCGCGGUAAUACGGAGGGUGCAAGCGUUAUUCGGAAUUACUGGGUUUAAAGGGUGCGUAGGCGGUUAUAUAAGUUGUCAGUGAAAGGCUACGGCUCAACUGUAGUAGUGCUGGCGAUACUGUAUAACUAAGAACAUGGGAGGGGUACCUGGAAUGUGUGGUGUAGCGGUGAAAUGCAUAGAUAUCACACAGAACACCGGAGGCGAAGGCGGGGUACUAGACCAUAGUUGACGCUGAGGCACGAAAGCGUGGGGAGCAAACAGGAUUAGAUACCCUGGUAGUCCACGCCCUAAACGAUGAUCACUAGAUAUUGGCGACAUACAGUCAGUGUCCAAGCGAAAGUGAUAAGUGAUCCACCUGGGGAAUACGGCCGCAAGGUUAA
rnacentral:rRNA from 1 species